rnacentral:tRNA from 1 species
GGAGCCGGAGGGCUUCGAUCCCACACUAUGCUAGUUAACAGCUAGCAUGUCAAACCAAUGACAUCAACUCC